UACGUAGGGGGCAAGCGUUGUCCGGAUUUAUUGGGCGUUAAAGAGCGUGUAGGCGGCCAAGCAGGUCAGCUGUGAAACUCGAGGCUCAACCUCGAGACGUCGGUUGAAACCGCUUGGCUAGAGUCCGGAAGAGGAGAGUGGAAUUCCCGGUGUAGCGGUGAAAUGACGCAGAUAUCGGGAAGAACACCCGUGGCGAAGGCGGCUCUCUGGGACGGUACUGACGCUGAGACGCGAAAGCGUGGGGAGCGAACGAGG
rnacentral:rRNA from 1 species